ACGCACGACACGAUAUGGUAGCGCGACAUUUGCAUUAAUGACCUUUUCGCUUCGUUAUUAGGGUUUUUUAUUAUCACAUCAGCUUUUAGUCUUUUUGAACGGUGGCAGUCACCGAGCUCGAAAGCGGAAACCAGGAGGUCCAGGACCGAAAAUGCCGUCGCACAAGACUUUAAGAAUCAAGAUCAAAUUGGCGAAGAAGAUGAGGCAGAAUAGGCCCAUCCCCCACUGGAUCUGAAUGAGGAGAGAUAACACUAUCAGGUACAACGCGAAACGCAGGCACUGGCGCCGUACCAAGUUAGGGGGUUUUGAGGUCAAUGCGGAUUUCUCCUUUUUUUCGAUAUAUUAUAUGCUAUGGGUACACAAACUGCUAUAUCUUGUAUUCUUGUUAAUUACAAGACACGAUUGCUUGGGUCAUGGACUCAUGGUAUUAAAAACGGAACAGAAUGGAACGGUUAGGCUGCGUUUGGUAGUCAGGAUAAAGAAUUUUAUUUUCGAUUUGUGUUAUAUAAUUCACAUUUAAUUUACAUGUCGUUAUAGGGCCGGUUUUAGGAAACAGUUUGGAAUUUCAAUUUGUAAGGUUUUUAAUUUUGGUUCAUAUUGGAUUUAUAUACUGUUUGUAAUGAUGGUUCA